rnacentral:rRNA from 1 species
UACGGAGGGUGCAAGCGUUAUCCGGAAUCACUGGGUUUAAAGGGUGCGUAGGUGGCAUCGUAAGUCAGAAGUGAAAGUUUGCGGCUUAACCGUAAAAUUGCUUUUGAUACUGCGAUGCUUGAAUCAGGUUGAGGUUGGCGGAAUGUGGCAUGUAGCGGUGAAAUGCUUAGAUAUGCCAUAGAACACCGAUUGCGAAGGCAGCUGACUGGACCUGUAUUGACGCUGAGGCACGAAAGCGUGGGGAGCGAACAGGAUUAGAUACCCCCGUAGUCC